UACAGAGGUCCCGAGCGUUGUUCGGAUUCACUGGGCGUAAAGGGUGCGCAGGUGGGUUUGCAAGUUUGAUGUGAAAGCCCCGGGCUUAACCCGGGAAUGGCAUUGAAUACUGCAGAUCUGGAGGAUUGGAGGGGGGACUGGAAUUCUGGGUGUAGCAGUGAAAUGCGUAGAUAUCAAGAGGAACACCAGUGGCGAAGGCGAGUCCCUGGACAAUACCUGACACUGAGGCACGAAAGCCAAGGGAGCAAACAGG
rnacentral:rRNA from 1 species